rnacentral:rRNA from 1 species
UGGGGAAUUUUGGACAAUGGGGGCAACCCUGAUCCAGCCAUGCCGCGUGUGUGAAGAAGGCCUUCGGGUUGUAAAGCACUUUCGGACGGAACGAAAUCGCACGGGUUAAUAUCCCGUGUGGAUGACGGUACUGUAAGAAGAAGCACCGGCUAACUACGUGCCAGCAGCCGCGGUAAUACGUAGGGUGCGAGCGUUAAUCGGAAUUACUGGGCGUAAAGCGUGCGCAGGCGGCUUCGCAAGUCAGACGUGAAAGCCCCGGGCUUAACCUGGGAAUGGCGUUUGAAACUACGGAGCUGGAGUGUGGCAGAGGGAGGUAGAAUUCCACGUGUAGCGGUGAAAUGCGUAGAUAUGUGGAGGAAUACCGAUGGCGAAGGCAGCCUCCUGGGCCAACACUGACGCUCAUGCACGAAAGCGUGGGGAGCAAACAGG